AUUGAACGCUGGCGGCGUGCCUAACACAUGCAAGUCGAGCGGUAACAGGUGUAGCAAUACAUGCUGACGAGCGGCGAACGGGUGAGUAAUGCUUCGGAAUCUACCCAAUGGUGGGGAAUAACCAGCCGAAAGGUUGGCUAAUACCGCAUACGUCCCACGGGAGAAAGCAGGGGAUCGCAAGACCUUGCGCCAAUGGAUGAGCCGAAGUCGGAUUAGCUAGNGGUAGGGUAACGGCCUACCAAGGCGACGAUCCGUAGCUGGUCUGAGAGGACGACCAGCCACACUGGGACUGAGACACGGCCCAGACUCCUACGGGAGGCAGCAGUGGGGAAUAUUGGACAAUGGGGGAAACCCUGAUCCAGCGACGCCGCGUGUGUGAAGAAGGCCUGCGGGUUGUAAAGC
rnacentral:rRNA from 1 species